rnacentral:rRNA from 1 species
AGCUCCAAUAGCGUGUGUUAAAGUUGUUGCAGUUAAAAAGCUCGUAGUUGGAUUUCUGGCAGGAGCGACCGGUCACACACUCUGUGUGUGAACUUGUGUUGUCUCUGGCCAUCCUUGGGAAGAUCCUGCUUGGCAUUAAGUUGUCGGGCAGGGGACACCCAUCGCUUACUGUGAAAAAAUUAGAGUGUUUAAAGCAGGCUCAUGCCGCUGAAUACACUAGCAUGGAAUAAUAAGAUAGGACUUCGGAACUAUUUUGUUGGUUUGCGUUACGAAGUAAUGAUUAACAGGGACAGUUGGGGGUGUUCGUAUUUCGUUGUCAGAGGUGAAAUUCUUGGAUUUCCGAAAGACGAACUACUGCGAAAGCAUUUACCAAGGAUGUUUUCA